UCCCUGGAAGCAGAGUUUCUAUAGUAUUUUUAUAUACAUUAUUUUGAUUUAAGUCUACUCUUUAUCUUUUUUUAUACACUUAUAUAACCAGUUGCACAGAUGACAAUCGCUUUGUUGCAUGGUCUCAAACCUACUUUGUGAACUGCAGCUACAUUUAUCAGCUAAUGUCUCUAAAGAAGUAAUUUGUUUAACAGUUUCUAAUUGGUAUCACAUUUUUAAGUGACUAUAUAUAUGUUUUUCAGCCCCUGUGUCAAAACCAGCUAUAUCACAGACGUGCUUGUCACCAGAACAGAAGACAGUGAGCUGCUUCUCUGAAGGAGAUGAAGUAGAGUUCACUUUGUCGUUGCAUGAUAACUCAUUAAUACAGACCAGACCCAAGAAAACAGACAAACACAACGUUUUAAACAUUGCCAUCAGCUUACAUGGUCAGAUGAUGGGAAACUUGACAUGUAUUGUUCAAAACAAUGUCAGCAGAGAACAAACAGUCGUCCGCCUUAGAAGCUGUACAGAUACAAUUUCUCACCUCUCUGUCUUGAAUGUGGUUGUGGUGACAAGCAUUUCUAUUCUGCUUCUGGUUUUGGCCCUGCUUCUUGGUAUGAAAUGUUUCAAUAAGACAACUAACCGCAUCACUGUUAAUGAAGUUGAUGCUGAAGAGGAUGUGGUCUACUCAGAUGUCAGAGUGAAGCAACAAACAAACAAAACAACAACCACAUCACAUCAAAAUGCAAAAUAAUUUUCUAAUGAAACAUGAGAAAAUGAAAUGACAUAUAUUUGCUUUGUUAGCCUUAUGACUAACAUAGCAAAUGCUUAAGGUUAAACCCUGGCUUCUCUCGUUUGCAUGCAAAAUAUCGCUGGGUGAAAUACUAACCCCAAGUUGCUCUCUGACGCAUCGUAGUAUGAAUCUGUGUGAAUUUAAAAGUGCUGUGUGUCAAUGAGGGAACUUGUCUAAAGUGAUGUGAUAGAGUAGAAAAGUGCUG